AGAGUUUGAUCCUGGCUCAGAUUGAACGCUGGCGGCAUGCCUUACACAUGCAAGUCGAACGGCAGCACGGGAGCAAUCCUGGUGGCGAGUGGCGAACGGGUGAGUAAUACAUCGGAACGUGCCCUGUCGUGGGGGAUAACUAGUCGAAAGAUUAGCUAAUACCGCAUACGACCUGAGGGUGAAAGCGGGGGACCGUAAGGCCUCGCGCGAUAGGAGCGGCCGAUGUCUGAUUAGCUAGUUGGUGGGGUAAAGGCCCACCAAGGCGACGAUCAGUAGCUGGUCUGAGAGGACGAUCAGCCACACUGGGACUGAGACACGGCCCAGACUCCUACGGGAGGCAGCAGUGGGGAAUUUUGGACAAUGGGGGCAACCCUGAUCCAGCAAUGCCGCGUGUGUGAAGAAGGCCUUCGGGUUGUAAAGCACUUUUGUCCGGAAAGAAAUCCCUUGCCCUAAUACGGCGGGGGGAUGACGGUACCGGAAGAAUAAGCACCGGCUAACUACGUGCCAGCAGCCGCGGUAAUACGUAGGGUGCGAGCGUUAAUCGGAAUUACUGGGCGUAAAGCGUGCGCAGGCGGUUUUGUAAGACAGGCGUGAAAUCCCCGAGCUCAACUUGGGAAUGGCGCUUGUGACUGCAAGGCUAGAGUAUGUCAGAGGGGGGUAGAAUUCCACGUGUAGCAGUGA
rnacentral:rRNA from 1 species